CCGUGAACAAUGUACAAGAGCAUGUCAGCUGCCUCGUCCUCCAGUUAGAAGGUUCGUUUAGCUUUUGGUAUAGGUAUACCAAACAACCAGCCCCCCCGGUUUCACUCACUAAUUGUGUCCAAAUCAAUGAAGUACUUGAGGAAUGUCACAUCAACGUAGUUAGCACUUUUGUCCACAAAAAUAGACGUGUCAACCAUGAACAAGAAGUAACACCUCAAAACACACUCGCUGUGGUAUUAAACAAAGAGCUCAUUGACCUCGAUCUCCGAAAAUGUUGUCCACAUAGGUGCUCGCCAUAUAAGUCGCUCAAGAAAGAGAACUUGGCGCGAGCCCCAUUAGUUGAGACACACCGUUCAUGUGCCUUUUCGAAUCAGCUCCCAAAUAUUCAACCAUCCAUUUAA